GGUUCCCAGAAAAUGGAUUUUUAUUUCGAACGGAUGCAGAUGCACGAGUUCUAGCUGAAGCGCAGAACCUGGAGUGAAAGACGAAGAGCAAAACGGAAGCUCCCAAGGAGCCAUGUUGUUUAGAUGUCCGGAAGCUAGAAGUAGUAAAAAUUAUCCAUACCAGGAAGAGAAAAUUUAAAAGCCAUAAAGUAGUGCCAAUGAAUGCCGAUGAAACAACUCUAUGGAAUGGUCGGGAAUCCUACAAGCAGAAUGUUCUAUAAAAAAGAGCUACAGACUUUAUUUCUUUAAAUGUUGAUGUCAGAACAUGUACUUCCUUUUAUAAUGUUUCUCAAAAUAAGACAGAGCAUUUUGUGAAAACUAUUUAGCUAAAAUGUUAAAACAAAGUUUUGCUUUUUAUAUGAUAACUAUGGAGCGAAAACCUCAAUUAGUAAAAUGUUCAAUAGUCUUUAUUAGGCUAAACGCAAAAUAUUUCGUAAAUUUAUCUAUAAAACUCAUUGGCAUGUUAGAGAAUGAAUUUUCUGAUUUAGAUAUUACUUUUCAGUAACUAUCAUUGAAAUUGUAGCUUGCCCCACAAAAUGAUUAAUGUCUAAUAUCUUCGGGAAUAUUUCUCGUAAAGGCAGACCAUUUUGUAUUUAACUAAAUAAAGCAUAAUGAACGUUUUACUGACCAGACUUACACAAAGAUCUUAUAAAAUGUUAAAUUUUGCAGUUGCAAAAUUCUUCAGUUUCCUAAGGUAAAAAGCCAUUUUUUUUUUUUUUUUUUUUUUUUUAAACUUUUCUGCUAAUUUGGUUUUAACUUAUGGUUGGUUGUCGUGGUUUUCCCCAUGCAUAACGUGACUACUGAGCUGUUUUCCCAUAGACUAGUCCGAAGCCAUCUCUUUCCUCAAGUAAUUGUGUGCUUCAAAUAUAUAUUCAAAUAACCUAACCUAACGUUACUUAAAAAUAAAUAAAUAAAUAAGUAAAAAUAAAUAAAAAAAUACACUUAGUUUUAUUGACUCAUACAUGGAAGUACGACACAGAGAAAAGGCCCCGAACUGUUUUUUCCUCUACACUGCCUUGAAGCGGCAACGCACCGCUCCUGGUGACUAAAGCAUUCAGUGAGUUGCUACUUGUAUUAAGAUCAAUAGGUUUUGACAUGAUCGGAGGUUAACACUUUGUAAUUACGUUGUAAAUAUAAGUAUAAACGUAUAUAUUUCCUUUUUCUACAAUAUUUCAGAGUUCUAAGUAUGUGAAAGAAUUAAACAAAAUUUCGUUCUGAACGGAACUAAAGGCUAUACUUUUCCCAGAACAGUUUUAAUCUGAAUGAAAUGCCUUCACAAGUUUUCGCUAAUUACAUUAGAAAGAAAUUUUAAUGCAAUUCGAUUUUAUUAGGUUAAAGGUUAUAAAAAUUAAAAUCAAAUUUUAUUCUAUUAUUAAUAUUAAAAUCACGCAUUAUUUAUUUUCUAUUUACAGAAAUUCUUUCCGAAACACUUCUUCAAAUAUGAGAUGAUUUUCAGCUUCUGAGGCAUCUUUUAACCCUUUUGCGACGGGAAGUGCAAACGCGCGCUUAUCGCUGACCGCUGAGGCCGGCAGUCUGUUUCGCAAGUCUGUCCAGGGCCGGAGGUUUUUUUUUAUGCUAGUAAGCCUAAAUCCAUGAAGAAGCAAGAAACGCACUCAUAGAGUGUUUUCCUGCGAUAUAAAUAUUCGCGUUUCUAUAUUCCUGCGAAUCCUUUUUGUAUUCAUUUUUUGCUACCAUGUAGAGCCUUUUAGGGUUAUUAUGUGAUGUUCUAUUACGUUUGGCAAUGUUUUUAUUUCGGAAAGCCUUCAGUUUACUUAUAUACAUUAUACGACUUCAGUUUAUGAUGCCGAUCAAGCGUUUUUUAUCGGACGAUUGAUAAAUGAGCCACUUAGUGAUAUGAAUGAGAGUGAUGAUUCAUUUCCUAAAGAGUUAGAAAGCGGUAUUUCUAGUGAUUUUCAUAUGGACAUUUUGUCAGAGAUUGAGCUCACUGAGUGUCUAACUUCCAGUUAUCGUUUGUAAACAGACUUUCUUGUACUUUUUUUUAUUAAUUUAAAAGUUUAUUAAUGUAUUUUAUCAAUUAAAACUUUUAACU